UACGGGGGGGCAAGCGUUGUUCGGAAUUACUGGGCGUAAAGGGCUCGUAGGCGGCCAACUAAGUCCAUACGUGAAAUCCCUCGGCUUAACCGGGGAACUGCGUCUGAUACUGGAUGGCUUGAGUUCGGGAGAGGGAUGCGGAAUUCCAGGUGUAGCGGUGAAAUGCGUAGAUAUCUGGAGGAACACCGGUGGCGAAGGCGGGUCUCUGGGCCGUAACUGACACUGAGGAGCGAAAGCGUGGGAGCAAACGAGG
rnacentral:rRNA from 1 species